AGGCGUUUGUCUUGCUCUUGCUGAAUCUCACAUUUCCUGUUGCUGGGUAGCCUGUUUGUUCAUCCUCUGAAUGCAGCACCGCUUUUUCAAAGGAUACUCUGGGCUCUAAUGAUCCCAUGAGUACAAAAUCAUUUUCAUCAUUUAUGUAAGAGAAAGUUUAUCUUGUGCAAAGUUUCACUGAGGGAUGUACGGCAGAAGCAGGUUGCCGACUAAAACAAAUACAAGACUUUUUCUACUUGGAGACAGUUCCUUUGAUUCAGAAGUGAAUGUCACCACUUUGUAAACAAAGAAGAUGAUUAAAAAAUGCAUCCUUUUUCUUAGAGUGUUCUCACAGUGCUUCAGCUCUCUCAAACCCCUAUUAGGAGCUCCCGAAGAAUACUAAAACAGUUUCCUUGAUCGGUUUGCGACAGUGAACUUCACAGGCCUGCUUUUGUCCUGAGUGAGAACAAGGACAGAUAAGCAGCAUCCUUUGUGAUAAAUGCAUCUUCAAUGUCAGUCAAAAAGUAAGCCUUGGAAUGUCUUAAUACAGAGCAGCAUACCUGUCUGAGAUUGUAUCUUUGAACCUCAACAUGAAGCAAAGUAUAGCACAGAGUGAAAUGUUUAGCUGUAUUCACGUGCUCUCCCCCUCAUUUCUUGCAAGUUAAUCAAAAAAAUGCAUGAAGUCCAGUUUUUAUCUAUAUUUCACUGAGUGUUAAAAAAAACACAAGGAUCCUUCUCUAGACCUCAUUUCAGGAAAACUUUCUCAGUAAUCAGCAGCACAGGUGAGCCUUCAAUAAGUGUCUUAUUGUGACGUUCAUAAUGCCUCACAUCAAACAUUCUCCAUUGUUUUCAUCAGGGACCCUGCGUUCAGUUCAGAUGGUGCCUGCUGCUCUAGAUUCUGAUCUCAGUUGAACUGGUAUAAAUCUAGAGUAGCUCCACUUAGGCCAGUAUAUCUGAAAUCACAUUCUGGCUCUUAUCGCUUGGUGACCCGCAUGAGUUUUGGCAGCACUUGAAUGGCGCAAAAUUGGGGCUCUGGGGAAAUUUCUGAAGAAUGAAACCCUAGGGGAAGAGGAAAAAAGAAGGCCAGAGGGCUACUGAAAGAGAAGAGGGAGACUGUAAGAAAACUGAGCGCCAGUGGGUACAGGCUGCCUCCGCACAAUGGUAUGUGAUUAAGUGGCUGAAUUUUAUUUUUCACAGAGCCAGACACUGUCUGGAACACCUCAGGGCCUAACUUAACGAAAAGUUCUUCCUUUGUUUUAAAUUGCAAUAAAGUUGGUGUUGUAUAAUUUUUAAACACAAUAAUUUAUACACGGCUUCCAUGAUGAGUAGUGCAUGCCUCACCAAAGAGAGAAAAAGUGCACCCUAUAGGAGACUGCUGUGGGUUAGUUUGUGAUUCAGAUCUGAAUGUGGGUAACUGGGAGCAGAAAAGGAUUGCUCGGGUCUCACAAACCUUUAGUAAACAAGCCAGAUGUGUAACGUAUUUAUCCAGAGCAAAAAGGUUUAUUCACUUCAAAAUUUAAUUCAUUAUUUUUUCUUGUACUUUGACGACAUGUUUAAGUUGGUUUCACAUUUUAUUUGUCUACUGAGCUGCCUAACUUAGGGAAAUUAGUAUUGUGUGUGCAGUUUGAUUUAAUUAGUAAUUGGGGAAAUAGGUCUGGCAUGUUUCAUGGAGGCUUGGGGAAAUUGUCAAUUAGCAUUGUGUUAAUUGGUGUCUGCUGUCCUUGCUUUUUAGUUUUUAACCCCUUUUACCUUGUUCCCACUUCCAGUAUGUAAAAUCUGGCUGCUUAUUAUUCUUUAAGUAAAGGAUUAAUUGCUUGAA